rnacentral:rRNA from 1 species
UACGGAGGGUGCGAGCGUUGUCCGGAAUCAUUGGGCGUAAAGGGCGCGUAGGUGGCGGCUUAAGCGUGCGGUGAAAGCUCGGGGCUCAACCCCGAGUCGGCCGUGCGAACUGAGUCGCUUGAGCACUGUAGAGGCGGGUGGAAUUCCGGGUGUAGCGGUGGAAUGCGUAGAGAUCCGGAAGAACACCGGUGGCGAAGGCGGCCCGCUGGGCAGAGACUGACGCUGAGGCGCGACAGCGUGGGGAGCAAACAGG